GCGGCGGCGGAGGAGGAGGCGGCACAGAGGAGAGGACAGCCCUGCUGCUGCUGCUGCUGCUGCUGCUGGCAGAAGAGGGGGGAAGUUUGACAAAUCGCCCCGGAGGAAGGAGGAGGGGAAGCCCCCCGAAGAGUUCACUGCCGAGCGCCGGCGGAUCGAUGUGCUGCGGGUUUGAUUGCGCCUCCCUGGGCGGCGGGGCCGCGCGGCGCGGGGAGGGCCGGGGGCGCGCAGGGCCCGCUCCCGCACCGCGACCCCGCACCGGGACCCCCGCACCGCCACCGGGGAGCGGGGCAGGGAUGGAGCGGGGAUGAAACAGAACAACAGCACCCCCACCAAAAAAAAAAAAAAAAAAAAAAAGUAGCGAUUUUUUUUUUUUUUAAGUUCACGGGGAGGAAUUAAAAAAAAAAAAAAAAGGCUGAGCUCACUUUUACGCUGAUCUUUAGGAUGAAAAAAAAAAUCGCAGUCGCCUAAAGUCCCCGGGAAAUUGCUACUGUUGGGGGAAAACGAAACAUUUCUCUUGCAAACAAGAAAAUGGUGAGUUGUCAAUUGCCGCUUCUGCUGCCAAACUCGCUCAGUUCCAUCUCAUUGAUACUCGCUGGUUGCUCCUCACAGUUACAGUAUCUGCUCACAGAAGGAGCGAUCAGAUCUGCUUAAGAGACGACACGGAGAUGUUCCCCCCCACCCCGCUUCCCCAAAAACGCCCGUGUGUGUGAGUGUGUGCGGGCGUGGGAGAGCCGUGCGGCAGGACGGGGCCGGGCGGGCGGGCAGCCCCGGCGGGGCGGGCGGGCGGGCUCGCACCGCGGCGGUGCGUGCCGCUAGAUCCGCCCUAACAUCUGUCCGUCUCACCAUUGGCGCAUCCAUCAGUGUCACCCCGGCCGCACAUUUGCAACGACAACACAUCAGACGCUACGCAGACCGGGAUUCGGUACAAAUAACCGACAUACUAAACAACUUAACCGGGGAGGAGGGGACCCAGCCGCAGCAUAAGUAUUUACAAAUGUUAGACAUCCUCGGGAAAGCGCGGCUCGGCUGCGGUUAAUAGCUCGUUCAUUCCCCUCUCCCUCCUCCCCCUUUAAGUAGGAAUUAGGAAAUGGAAAACCUAAAUAAUUCACGCCUCCCACCCCCCUCCGAAGGAUGCUGCCGUCCGGGGGCAGGGGCAGGGACAGGGGCUGGGGCUCAGCCCGGCUGCGCUCCCGGCUCCGCGGGACCGCACCGAGCGCGGAGCCGGCGAGAGGCGAACCCGGGGCUCAGAGGCUGCCGACCGAGCCGGCCCGCGCUGCGCAACAUGGAGGAUUCCUCCGAGCUCUGGAGCUGGAGAGGCUGCAACAAACUUUGGGAUGCUCGGCCGAGAGCCUCGGGAGCCCCGGGCGGCUCUGUCCCUGCCUGCCGCACGGAGCGCAGGAGGAAGGUCGCUCUGCCACCAGGCGCUGGUAAAGCGCCCUGAAAACUACAGCAAAAUUAAAACGAUACGGCGCGAGUGUAGUCAUUGCAGUCCUGGGAAGGCUGUUCAGAAAUAUACGAAAGCCCUCUCUAAAGCCAGUGACGAUCCCGAUUCUCCUCAAGCAUCCCGAGGAACGCGCUGCAGCGACCAAUCCCGAAUUUUGGGGCGGUUGCAAGUUGGAAGAAGUUUUUUUAUUCCUUCCGUUUCCCUCUCCCUAAAUCUGCUCAUUUCUCACUGACUUUGUAUCACCCUCAGCCCGCAGGAGGGAUGUCAGCCCCUGCCCGCUCGGCUGGGCCCGGGUGCCCGGCGGGGUGCGCAGCCUCCUCCCGCGGGUGCGCUCUCCCACGCGCGGGCGUGGGUUUAUGCAUGUGGUGGCAUUUGUGUUGGAACAGGCUCCCCAGCAGAGCUCUGCCUCCCGCAGCACAGCCUGCGUGGAAGAUGCUGGCAGGUGGCACCUCAGCAGCUGAGCGGUGUCACUUAACGCAAACAAACACGCGAGACAGUCCCUGGCCCUGCUGCGUGGGGAGGUUUGUGCAAACAGCGCUUACCUGGCUUUGCAAAGGGCGGCCCACACGCCCCGGCAGUGAAGAGUGAUGGGCUCGUACCAGUGCGCUGAGCUGGGACUGGGGGGGGAAUAAAAUAAGUGAAACUUUCCGUAAAGAGUAAUUGGAGGAACUUUCUGAGUUCAGUUAGAAAUAAUAAUUCUCGUGUGUGUGAGAGAGAAAGGCAGCAGAUAUACGUGCACACAGACACAUGUCCUGGGCUUACACAUUCACAACUCAGUGCCAAAAUGCUCAGGAAGUUGGGGAAUAAUUUGGUUGUUAACUAUAUUAAUUUUUUUUUUAAAAGGAAGAAAAAAAAGUCUAUUGAACUUUCUAACAGACGAUUUACAGAGGGAAGUGCAGAUGCCUUCAUGUGAGUCGGCUUCUUUCGGGGUCACAAUCUAUCCCAGAAAGCUGGAACCCGCAACUUUAUGAAGUGUAACAUUUCCAAACAUAACGCAUCAAAUCGAAGGCUGAGCAGACUCCAUCUACAGAGGCUCAGCAUACGAGGCUCAGCCCUAAGCUCGCUCUUUCCAGCAGUUUUAAACUAAGGUACCAGUUAUUUAUAAGUCACAUAAUUAGAUAACCAUCACUCCUGAACUUUCCAUCAGCUAAGAAUGUUUUAUCUUUCACCACUGGACACUACUUAGUGCCCUUCUUUGGUAUACAUUUUCCUGCUCACUUCAUUCCCCUACACCAAAACUCCACCAGUUGCCCGAGACACCCCUCCCGUCCCCUGGCCCGAGCGGAGACAGCAGCUGAGCCGACAAAGGACCCCUGGAAUUAACUGCUGGCUAUGGGAACGGCCAAAGAGGAUCAGUGAGGAAGUUUAGCAAACUUGGAACAGCCGCCUCUUAGAAACCAGCGUGUUUUACCCGGGCUUUAACCUUGUUCUCUCCCGAGCAGCGUGUUGAUGUUUCGCCGCUUGCUCCCUGCAAACAAGGCAAGGAGCGGCGUGCGCCGAGAUGCCCGUGUGUGGCUGCUCUCCCUCGCUGUUCGCACCAGUUCACUGCUCUCCGGGGGUCAGCCUCGAGCACCGAGCGGCCCCGGCCCGGCUCUGCCGGCGCCUCCCCUUCGAGCGGGGCAGAGGAGCCGGCGGGGACCCGCGGGAAGGUACCCGAGUGCCCCCGGCCCGGGGGAAGGGUCGGGCACCAGCGAGCAGGGGCCUUUGGAGCCGCCGGUGCGGGGCAGCGGCUGUCGGGGGUGGAGGGGCCGGGCUGGCGGCCGGGGGCGGGGGGCGAGCCCCUGCAGCCGGCGGGGGCCUCACCUGCCCCGGGCAGCCCCCGCAGCCCCGGGCGGACCGCGGGCUGGGCUGAGGGAGCCCCGCGGAGGCGCCGCCGGCAUCGGGCGCGCACAACGCGGCGGCCCCGCGGCCGGUCCCGCCGGCCACCCCCGGCCCUCUGUGCCAGGGCACAGCCUGCCCUCCUGCCCCACGCCUCGGCGGCACCAUCGAAAUGCUGGAACUACUUGGGUUUCUCCUGGCGAAGAACAAAGAAGCAGCAGCUUUCAUUAAGGCUGGACCAGAUGAAUACGGAUCUGACAAGUUUGUUUAAAAAACCCCACUGCCCACGCCCGAAAACGAUACUGCGCUUCUGUAAAAUACAAAGUGUUGUCAAUAACCAUUAUAGCAGCGAUAAUUAUCUGAGAAGAGAACAAAGACAUUUUGUAAUAUCUACAUAACUUUAUUAGAGCAAAAUUAUUUUAAAAUGCCUGUGAAUUCCCAAACCUCCUGAAUACAAAUGAAUAAAAGUUUUUUCUUCGGGCUAAAAA